rnacentral:misc_RNA from 1 species
GAUGAAGAACGUAGCGAAAUGCGAUAAGUAAUGUGAAUUGCAGAAUUCAGUGAAUCAUCGAAUCUUUGAACGCACAUUGCGCCCAUUAGUAUUCUAGUGGGCAUGCCUGUUCGAGCGUCAUUAAGUCCACUUAAGCCCUGCUUAGUGUUGGGAGACUGCUCCAGCGGUGCUACCCUGUAGCUACCCUGCAGCUCCUCAAAGACAGCGGCGAAGUUGUGGUAUCCUCUGAGCUUAGUAACUUGUUCUAGCUUUCGAGUACACCACUUCCCCUGCCGUAAAACCCUUAAUUUUUAAUGGUUGACCUCGGAUCAGGUAGGAAUACCCGCUGAACUUAAGCAUAUCAAUAAGCGGAGGA